UUAAUUGCUUACUAUCGGGAGUGAGAUAAAAGAAUAAGGUGGGAGAGAAAAUAAGUUUUAAUUUAGUGUGCUCGACAAGGAGUUGGGCCCUCGUGCCUACGUAUCCCCAUACGUGCAAUAGGGAAGUCAGAGCUUCGUAGUUCGGCUCAAAAAUGGCGUAUUUGUUUGGUUGUUUUUACUAAACAGUAUUGACGUUCUUGUGCUACUGUUCACUUGCUUGUAUACUCUGUCAUGGGAGCGGAAAGAAAAAAAUCAUUAGGCGAGAUACGGAUCAAAAAUGGAAAAUUACCUAAAGAAAAAAAAUCAUGGUAAAAAUAUACCCUUAGCCAUAUUAAUCAAAACAUGAAUAAAAUCAAUAAUAUGAAUUAACAUAACCUAAUGGCCAAUUAUGAUCCAAGCAAGGUUAACUAGAAUGAGAUUAAUUCUGAAAAAAAACUAAAAUCCAAUUAAAACAAUAUAACCUAUUUUCUAAAUCAAAUUUCCUAAAUCCUAAUUAACUAUGAAUUACCCUAAUUACUAGAAUAUUACUUCCUAGUAUUUCUAAAACCAAAAAUUAAUCCUAAUUUUAACCUAACAAGAAAAAAUCAGUGGCAACACUAAUCAACGAGAAUUCAAUAAGAUCAUCAUGGUUAAUCAUGGACUAACUGAGAUUAAUAACUAAUGCAAUGGGCCUUGGGGGUGAUAAUUGGAGGGGAAGUGUAUGGGAUGGGAGAACUUGGGCCAUGAAUUCGUUAUAAGGACGAGGCCCAAGAUCAGUUCACCACAAAAACCUCUAAGAACCGGGUUUAAUGCCAGACCCGCAACUCACCCUCAGGUUCAUUCAAAGGAAAUGAAAGUGGAACGAAUGCGAGGAAUCUCGACCGAAACCAAGACGAAGCAGCUUGCACAUCAACCAUACACCGUCGCCGUCUUAGUCUUGUGUAUCAUCUCCGACAGCCAUCACCUUCGAGAAGGAUCAAAGACCCACUUCCUCAAUGUUCAAUCGAAGAAUCGAGGAUGCAAGACUAAGUUUUCAUUCCAGCUCAAUCAAAUCAGCAUCGUUGAAUGCAUGUUCUCGCACAAAAAUGGAAAGAAAACGUAGGGAGAAGAAACCUACCGAUUUAUUCCGAUGCAGCGGUUCAGAGGAGAUAUACGCUCGUUGUUGAUUCACGUUGAUAAUCGUUCUUACUCUGAAGAAUGA
rnacentral:lncRNA from 1 species